AGAAGAUGCUGUUUAUGACACCAUCAGCUUAGCAAUGGAAACACAAUGUGACCCAACAGAAGCUAACAGUGAUGAAUUUUAUUCUACGUUCAAAUAAAGAAGAAACCUCAAGGGCAAUGAAUACAGUUUAAAUCAAUUGCAUGAUUUAAUCAGAGCAUAUUUAACAGCAUUGGUGAGCGAGCUCACAUCAUCCAGCCACAAUGUACAGGACUAUCUCAAGAACACAGACCCAGUUUACUUGUGCCAUUUACAACAGAAAUGCUAGAUCUGCAAAUACCGGGAUUUAAUGAAACAUUUUUAAA